AGUAAAGUGGCUGAGUUUAAAUAAUAGGCGGUAAAUUGUAAAUUUACUUACAGAUAAUAAUCUCUUUACUA
rnacentral:tRNA from 1 species